UGUAAUUUAGUUUAGAUAGAAUAUUUAUUUUUGGUGUAAAAGGGUCUAAUUACAA
rnacentral:tRNA from 1 species